GUUGAAGGGCACCAGAUACAGCUCUUGAACCAACAUUACAUCUAAACAAGUUAAAUUUUCCCAAAAUUCACGUUCGCAUUCCAUAAAAAUAAUUCUAAAUUGUCCAGUUUCUCAUUAAUGUUAUUUUACUUCAGCUGAUUCAGUAUUUUCAAUUUUAUCCCCCUUCACACUACAAUAACCAGCAAGCUAAAUUUCUACCACAUAACACAGCACAUCAAUCGACACAUGGAAAACAACAUAACCCAUAUCAUCAAAAUCGAUCAGAUUCAGACCCAUUAAGUUUAGCACAAUCAAAGACACCGAAAAACAUCUUCACACUCGAUUCCGGUAAAAACCCAAACAUACAUAGGAAGAAAAUAAAGGCGCCGAGCAAUACAAAGGCAAAGACUACCUUCUUCGUUUUAAGCUUAGCCA
rnacentral:misc_RNA from 1 species